UACGUAGGGGGCAAGCGUUGUCCGGAUUUAUUGGGCGUAAAGAGCGUGUAGGCGGCCAGACAGGUCCGUUGUGAAAACUCGAGGCUCAACCUCGAGACGCCGAUGGAAACCGUCUGGCUAGAGUCCGGAAGAGGAGAGUGGAAUUCCUGGUGUAGCGGUGAAAUGCGCAGAUAUCAGGAAGAACACCAGUGGCGAAGGCGACUACCUGGCCUGUUCUUGACGCUGAGGCGCGAAAGCUAGGGGAGCAAACGGG
rnacentral:rRNA from 1 species